UUGGAGGGCAAGUCUGGUGCCAGCAGCCGCGGUAAUUCCAGCUCCAAUAGCGCAUAUUAAAGUUGUUGCAGUUAAAAAGCUCGUAGUUGAAUUUCGGGAUUCUACCGUUGGUCGGACUAACAAGUCUGUACUGGUGUGUAGAAUUUCUACCUUCUGGGGAACUAUCAUGUUAUUAAUUUAGCGUGGUGGGAAACCAGGACCUUUACCUUGAAAAAAUUAGAGUGUUCAAAGCAGGCUUACGUCUGAAUACAUUAGCAUGGAAUAAUAGAAUAGGACGGUGGUCCUGUUUUGUUGGUUUCUGAAUCACCGUAAUGAUUAAUAGGGAUAGUUGGGGGCAUUAGUAUUCAAUUGUCAGAGGUGAAAUUCUUGGAUUUAUUGAAGACUAACUUCUGCGAAGGCAUUUGCCAAGGAUGUUUUCAUUAAUCAAGAACGAAAGUUAGGGGAUCGAAGACGAUCAGAUACCGUCGUAGUCUUAACCAUAAACUAUGCCGACUAGGGAUCGGACGAUGUUAACCUUUAUUGACUCGUUCGGCACCUUACGGGAAAC
rnacentral:rRNA from 1 species